rnacentral:lncRNA from 1 species
AGAAAUAGCAUCAGGAUAGACACCGACAGCACAACCACCUCCACCACCACAAACCCUAGCUGCAGCGAAAGAUCAAGAGCUAGUGAACUUGGUCACCGCCUUGGUGCCCUCGGAGACGGCGUGCUUCGCGAGCUCUCCGGGGAGCACCAGGCGGACCGAGGUCUGGAUCUCGCGGGAGGUGAUGGUGGGCUUCUUGUUGUAGCGGGCAAGGCGAGAGGCUUCCUGGGCCAGCUUCUCGAAGAUGUCGUUGAUGAAGGAGUUCAUAAUGGACAUAGCCUUGCUGGAGAUACCGAUGUCCG